rnacentral:rRNA from 1 species
CCUACGGGGGGCAGCAGUGGGGAAUAUUGGACAAUGGGGGGAACCCUGAUCCAGCCAUGCCGCGUGUGUGAAGAAGGCCCUCGGGUUGUAAAGCACUUUCAGUGAGGAAGAACGCCUGGUGGUUAAUACCCAUCAGGAAAGACAUCACUCACAGAAGAAGCACCGGCUAACUCCGUGCCAGCAGCCGCGGUAAUACGGAGGGUGCGGCGUUAAUCGGAAUUACUGGGCGUAAAGCGCGCGUAGGUGGCUUGAUAAGCCGGUUGUGAAAGCCCCGGGCUCAACCUGGGAACGGCAUCCGGAACUGUCAAGCUAGAGUGCAGGAGAGGAAGGUAGAAUUCCCAGUGUAGCGGUGAAAUGCGUAGAGAUCGGGAGGAAUACCAGUGGCGAAGGCGGCCUUCUGGACUGACACUGACACUGAGGUGCGAAAGCGUGGGUAGCAAACAGGAUUAGAUACCCGAGUAGUC